rnacentral:lncRNA from 1 species
GAAUAAGAUGCUUCUUCCACCAUCAGACCACUGUGAGUGUUAAUCACACACCAAGGCUUAGAUAUUAGGGUAUUUUCGCACUCAGACCAAAGAUCACCUAAGAUCAUAGAAGAUACAAUCUUCUCACUUCACAAAUCGGUUCACACAAGAACACAGUACACUUCUCAGUGAUAAUCACUCAAGAUUACAAAAUCAGUUUUGAGCAAGUGUUGAAAAUCAAGAAGAUCGUUGAUUUUCAGAGAAGAAGAAGGAGAUGAAACUCGAACGGCCAAAGUAAAAUGAAGAAUCUAGAAGAAUGAAAAAAUUACGCGUCUCAAACCCUAGGACUCUCCUUUAUAUGAGUCACCAGAUGGUCAAGCAUCCAACGGUCAAAGAACUGACACAUGGCAUCAUCAUGAAGGUCCAAAAGGAGAAACACGGUUUUAACAAAUAUAAGCGCGUUUUUUGUUUAAGGGAUCAGCUAACACGUUCAAACAGAAAUUAAAAGGUCAGCUGAUCAACUCACACUAAUAGCAUCAUUGUGCCAUACCCUUUCAAUCUCCACCUUGGUACAAUGAUUUACAUACACUCAACAGUGAGGUUGCUCCCAGUUUUGAACAUCAAUUGCACUCUUGUCAGACACUCAAAUCAGCAUGUAGUGAUGUUCAACAUGUUCAAGCAGUCCAAGAACUUAUUAAGGGGUAGUACCUUUGUACCUGCAUCAGCGGGGUUAAAAUUAGUAGAAAUCUUUUCAAGUUUCUCAACUCCUUGUGAAAUUAUAUCCCUUAUAAAGUGAAAUCUAACAUCAACAUGUUUAGAUCUAUUAUGUAAAAUUGGAUUUCUACUUAAAUGAAUGGCUGACUGACUAUCAGAAUAAAGAACUACUUCUUUAACAAAACCAAAUUCAUUUAAUAACCCUUUCAGCNAUUGUUCAAAGUCUAAGAGUCACAACGUGUUUUUCACAACACAAAUUACAUUUGAGCAGCAAGAACCAAGAUCAUACGCUAAUCAGUAUCACAACAGUGUAAUAAUAUCAAGACCUUUGACUUAUGUCAAGGUAACCCUCAGAUUCCAGAGAACUCUUAGGGUUUCUGGACAAAGGAAUUACCGAGGCAGUCGCAGAUCAUGAGAUUAAAUCACAGUAACAGCAGCUCAAAAAAUUUAUACAAUUAAUUUGCAGUAUUAAUCGUAAAACUAGAACAAUCUCACCAGAUCCCUUCAAUAGGGUUUCAAGAAAUAACGAAGGUUAGGAAAAGCAAGUGUCACAAUUUCAGAUCUACACGAGUUAGAGUCAAGAACCUCCGUCCGAAUGCUCUGAUACCACUGUAAAGAGGAGGUUCCACAAUAUUAGAUUUAAUCAACAAAGAAAAAUACACCAAGGUAGUAACAAGAUAAAAGUAUUAAAGCACAAAAUCGGAGAUCUCAUUUAAGAUGCCCUAAGGCAGUAACAAGAUGAAAG